CAUACGUAAAAAGUGGACCCACAUGAAAUCGCCGUUGUUGUAUCUGCAUUCACAAUAGCGCAAUGACAGAUGCUUCUGAUAUUGGAGGCACUGUUGCAUGAUAAUAAGCGCAUAACUCACAUCCCGGCCGAUGCAAGACAUAGGAUUAGGCAACUAACGUACUUUCGCAUGAUACACGCAUCUAACCUAGUGUGUCGAGAAAGUACGCGAAUGGACAGACGCUGCUUCGUAAUUUUGUGCCAUCUACUACAAACUAGGGCCGAUUUAGAAUCUACUGAACACAUGGACGUUGAGGAGAUGGUCGUCCUCUUCCUUCAUGUGCUAGCACUCGAUGUGAAGAACCGACAGAUCUAAAGGGAGUUCGUUAGGUUAGGUAAGAUAGUCUCCCGACAUUUCAACAUGGUGUUGAUGGUCGUUCUUCGGCUGCAUGACGAGUUAUUAGCCACACCACAACCUAUAAUGAGCGAAUGCACAGACAUGAGGUGGCAGUGUUUCGAGGGGCCAAAAUAAGAAACUGUGUUUCAUAUUUUUCAGACUUACUGUGUCAUUGACUAAUUUUUCAAACUUAACAGUCUAAAGGUUUUGAAGGAGUAUUACUACCUGUGCAACACGGGUUACCCAAAUGUAGAGGGUUUUCUAACGCCCUACAAGGGCUAACGUUAUCAUCUACAAGAGUGACGAGGUGCCAGAAAUGCUCCUGGGACAACAAAAGAGUUCUUCAACAUGAAACAUUCUAGUGCACGGAAUGUCAUUGAAAGAGCCUUCAGUCUAUGGAAGGGAUGUUGGGCAAUACUACAUGAAAAGUCGUACUACCCGAUUCAAGUCCAAUGUCGGACUAUCAUGGCUUGUUGUCUCAUUCAUAAUUUAAUAAAUCGGAAGAUGACUUACAUUGUAGAAUUUGAUGACGAAGAUGAUGGUGACUCGACACAUGCAACUACUACUAGGGACGACAUCAUAUGCAUUAAGCCCUCAAACGAAUGGACUAAAUGGCGUGAUGCGCUUGCUUCGUCAAUGUUCACAGAAUGACAGUUGCUUAAUUAGUAGUACUGUGCCAUUUAUAUUAUUGUCCCCUUCGUAUACCAUUCUGUAUUAUGCAACUCUUCAUUUCAAUUUG